rnacentral:rRNA from 1 species
CCUACGGGAGGCAGCAGUGAGGAAUAUUGGUCAAUGGACGAGAGUCUGAACCAGCCAAGUCGCGUGAAGGAUGACUGCCCUAUGGGUUGUAAACUUCUUUUAUAUGGGAAUAAAAUGUUCCACGUGUGGGAUUUUGUAUGUACCAUAUGAAUAAGGAUCGGCUAACUCCGUGCCAGCAGCCGCGGUAAUACGGAGGAUCCGAGCGUUAUCCGGAUUUAUUGGGUGUAAAGGGAGCGUAGGUGGAUUGUUAAGUCAGUUGUGAAAGUUUGCGGCUCAACCGUAAAAUUGCAGUUGAAACGGGCAGUCUUGAGUACAGGAGAGGUGGGCGGAAUUCGUGGUGUAGCGGUGAAAUGCUUAGAUAUAACGAAGAACGCCGAUUGCGAAGGCAGUUCACUGGACUGCAACUGACACUGAGGCUCGAAAGUGUGGGUAUCAAACAGGAUUAGAUACCCCUGUAGUC